CAAAUUAUUGUCCAAGGGACAUUAUUAUUUACAUUAAUAAAUUAUUCGUGCAAUUCGAAUUAAUUUGA
rnacentral:tRNA from 1 species